rnacentral:rRNA from 1 species
AACGAACGCUGGCGGCAUGCCUAACACAUGCAAGUCGAACGAGACCUUCGGGUCUAGUUGCGCACGGGUGCGUAACGCGUGGGAACCUUCCCUUAGGUUGGGAAUAACUCCCCGAAAGGGGUGCUAAUACCGGAUAAUUUCUUCGGACCAAAGAUUUAUCGCCUUUGGAUGGGCCCGCGUUGGAUUAGCUAGUUGGUAGGGUAAAAGCCUACCAAGGCGACGAUCCAUAGCUGGUCUGAGAGGAUGAUCAGCCACACUGGGACUGAGACACGGCCCAGACUCCUACGGGAGGAAGAAGUGGGGAAUAUUGGACAAUGGGCGAAAGACUGAUCCAGCAAUGCCGCGUGAGUGAUGAAGGCCUUAGGGUUGUAAAGCUCUUUUACCCGGGAUGAUAAUGACAGUACCGGGAGAAUAAGCUCCGGCUAACUCCGUG